AACGAACGCUGGCGGCAGGCCUAACACAUGCAAGUCGAGCGCCCCGCAAGGGGAGCGGCGGACGGGUGAGUAACGCGUGGGAACGUACCCUUUUCUGCGGAAUAGCCCAGGGAAACUUGGAUUAAUACCGCAUACGCCCUUCGGGGGAAAGAUUUAUCGGAGAAGGAUCGGCCCGCGUUGGAUUAGGUAGUUGGUGGGGUAAUGGCCUACCAAGCCGACGAUCCAUAGCUGGUUUGAGAGGAUGAUCAGCCACACUGGGACUGAGACACGGCCCAGACUCCUACGGGAGGCAGCAGUGGGGAAUCUUCGGCAAUGGGCGCAAGCCUGACCGAGCCAUGCCGCGUGAGCGAUGAAGGCCUUAGGGUUGUAAAGCUCUUUCGCCAGGGAUGAUAAUGACAGUACCUGGUAAAGAAACCCCGGCUAACUCCGUGCCAGCCGCCGCAGUAAAAC
rnacentral:rRNA from 1 species